AUAUAGGCGAAGAUGGAAACAGUAUUUGUUAGGAGCAGUAAUAGCGAUUUGGGGAUAGUGUGAGCCCGAACAAGCAACUAACAAAGAAAAUCAUUCCUGAGCUAAAUAACUGAACUAAUAGUAAGUUAUUUCGUGGCGCACGACGUUAACGUGCUUUCAAGAGGUAGUAUAAUUGUAUACUGCAACUAGGGUGGUACCGCGAGUUCAAGCUUCUCGUCCCUUUU
rnacentral:ncRNA from 1 species